rnacentral:lncRNA from 1 species
UAUUCUUUUGAUUAUUAGUCUCUGAUCUUAAGAUUCAAAAUAUUUCUUGAAACUAUAAUGAUGAUCGAUAGUUUUAGACAACCAUGUCAUGUUUUAGUUUUAUUUUAUGGUUUAUAUGAGGUUAUCAUGUAACUUAGUGUUUGGAUUAGCUACUUACAUUCAACAUUUUCCACACCCUGCCAUUUUUAGGCCUUUAUAGUGAGAGCAUUAUUGCAAAAGAUUAUUCUCUACUA